UACGUAGGGUGUAAGCGUUAUCCGGAAUUAUUGGGCGUAAAGAGCUCGUAGGCGGUUUGUCGCGUCUGCUGUGAAAACUGGAGGCUCAACCUCCAGCCUGCAGUGGGUACGGGCAGACUAGAGUGCGGUAGGGGAGAUUGGAAUUCCUGGUGUAGCGGUGGAAUGCGCAGAUAUCAGGAGGAACACCGAUGGCGAAGGCAGAUCUCUGGGCCGUAACUGACGCUGAGGAGCGAAAGCGUGGGGAGCGAACAGG
rnacentral:rRNA from 1 species